rnacentral:rRNA from 1 species
CAGCCGCCGCGGUAAAACAGAGGGUGCGAGCGUUAAUCGGAUUUACUGGGCGUAAAGCGUGCGUAGGCGGCUAAUUGAGUCGGAUGUGAAAUCCCCGAGCUUAACUUGGGAAUUGCAUUCGAUACUGGUUAGCUAGAGUGUGGGAGAGGAUGGUAGAAUUCCAGGUGUAGCGGUGAAAUGCGUAGAGAUCUGGAGGAAUACCGAUGGCGAAGGCAGCCAUCUGGCCUAACACUGACGCUGAGGUACGAAAGCAUGGGGAGCAAACAGGAUUAGAGACCCCCGUAGUCCCUGUCUCUUAUAC